CCUAGCAUCAAAUCAUCGGCAAAUGCUAAAUGAGUAAUCUUUAACGACCCACAUUUAUGUUGAUAAUUAAAAUCACUAUUCUUGGUAUCACCUUUCAACAUUCUCGAAAAAUAUUCAAGACAAAGCACAAACAAGAAUAGAGAUAACGGAUCACCUCGUCUAAGCCCUUUUCUUCCCUUAAAGAAGCCAUUUAGACUACCACCAAGUGCAGUGGAGUAAGGAAUAGAGAUGCAUUCCAUAAUCCAACCAAUAAACUUAAUUGGAAAAAUCCAAACAUUAUAGCACGCUUUUGAGAAAGUCCCAAUUCACCCAUCAUUUGUUUUCGUCAAAUCAAUUUUAAUGAGGCAUCUCGGGACAACUCUUUUCCGAUUAUAUUGUCUCAAGAGCUCUUGCGCAAGGUGAAUGCUCUCGAUCGUGCUUCUCUCUACAAAUGCCGCUUGUGCUUGAUCAACAAUGGAUCCAAGUAUAGGUCCCAAUCAAGAAACAAAAAUCUUUGCAAUGAUCAUGUAAAAUACAUUACAACAUGCAAUCAACCUAUAGUCUCCAACGGAAGAUGAGUGGUUUGUAUUACGCAACAUGGCAAUCACCGUAUGAUUAGUUUGUUUAAGAAGAGAGGAAGAGUCCAUCUAGCCCUGACAACUUAUCAUCACCAAUACUAAACAAAGCCUUAUUUAUCUCUUGAUCCGAGAUUCCAUGAAUAAGUGACAAAGCAUGCUCUUCAAUUAGCAUGGGUUCAUUCUUCACUAAGUCAACCUCAACAGGAUGAACAAAACAACUUUUCCCACUAUAAAAGUGAAUUCAUCCACCACUUCCUUAUGAGAAGAAGUAUAAAUCCCAUCCCUUUUCGAAACGGUAGCAAUGUAGUUCCUCUUAUUAUUUCUCUUUACCACUGAAUGGAAGAACUUAGUAAACUUAUCACUAUUUUUUAGAUAAGCACAUUUAGCUUUUUGGUAGUAAAAAUUUCUCUCCGCUUUUCCCAGAUUCAUGGC
rnacentral:lncRNA from 1 species